rnacentral:rRNA from 1 species
GGGGAAUAUUGCACAAUGGGGGGAACCCUGAUGCAGCCAUGCCGCGUGAAUGAAGAAGGCCUUCGGGUUGUAAAGUUCUUUCGGUGACGAGGAAGGUUGGUAGGUUAAUAGCCUAUCAAAUUGACGUUAAUCACAGAAGAAGCACCGGCUAACUCCGUGCCAGCAGCCGCGGUAAUACGGGGGGUGCGAGCGUUAAUCGGAAUAACUGGGCGUAAAGGGCACGCAGGCGGUUAUUUAAGUGAGGUGUGAAAGCCCCGGGCUUAACCUGGGAAUUGCAUUUCAGACUGGGUAACUAGAGUACUUUAGGGAGGGGUAGAAUUCCACGUGUAGCGGUGAAAUGCGUAGAGAUGUGGGGGAAUACCGAAGGCGAAGGCAGCCCCUUGGGAAUGUACUGACGCUCAUGUGCGAAAGCGUGGGGAGCAAACAGGAUUAGAUACCCUGGUAGUCCACGCUGUAAACGCUGUCGAUUUGGGGAUUGGGCUUAAAGCUUGGUGCCCGUAGCUAACGUGAUAAAUCGACCGCCUGGGGAGUACGGCCGCAAGGUUA